rnacentral:piRNA from 1 species
UCAAGAAAGUGGUUUCUUCUAGAAGUGUC